rnacentral:rRNA from 1 species
UACGGGGGGGGUAAGCGUUGUUCGGAUUCAUUGGGCGUAAAGGGUGCGUAGGCGGCGCGGUGAGUCGGAUGUGAAAUCUCGGAGCUUAACUCCGAAACUGCAUUCGAUACUGCCGUGCUUGAGGACUGGAGAGGAGACUGGAAUUUACGGUGUAGCGGUGAAAUGCGUAGAUAUCUGGAGGAAUACCGGUGGCGAAGGCGGCAUCCUGGACCGACAUUGACGCUGAACGGCGAAAGCUAGGGGAGCAAACGGG